CCCUUAGAUGUUCUGGGCUGCACACGUGCUACACUGGCAGGUUCAGCGAGCUUCAUGCCCUGAUCUGAAAGGAAUGGGAAAUCUUUUCAAAACCUGCCGUGCUUGGGAUAGAUGUUUGCAAUUAUUCAUCUUCAACGAGGAUUGCCUUGUAAGCGCACGUCAUCAGCGUGCAUUGAAUACGACCCUGUAUUCUGUACACACCGCCCGUCGCUCCUACCGAUUGAAGUUUUCGGUGAGUUGACAGGAGGAUUUUUUUGAAACUGGUUCGCCAGUGGAUUUUAGAUCCAAAUGCCAUCGAAUCGAUGGCUUUAGAGGAAGGAGAAGUCGUAACA
rnacentral:rRNA from 1 species